rnacentral:sRNA from 1 species
GCCAGGUGUAGAGGUGCACACCUGUAAUCUCAGCAGCUCAGGAGGCUGAGGCAGGAGGAUCUUAAGUUCAAAGCCAGCCUCAG